rnacentral:rRNA from 1 species
UGGGGAAUAUUCCGCAAUGGACGAAAGUCUGACGGAGCAACGCCGCGUGAGUGAUGAAGGUUUUCGGACUGUAAAGCUCUGUUGUUUAGGACGAAAGUGCCUGUUGCGAACAGUUACAGGUAUUGACGGUACUAAACGAGGAAGCCACGGCUAACUACGUGCCAGCAGCCGCGGUAAUACGUAGGUGGCAAGCGUUGUCCGGAAUUAUUGGGCGUAAAGAGCAUGUAGGCGGAGAUUUAAGUCUGUUGUGAAAAUGCGGGGCUCAACCCCGUAUUGCGAUGGAAACUGAAUUUCUUGAGUGCAGGGGAGGAAAGGGGAAUUCCCAGUGUAGCGGUGAAAUGCGUAGAUAUUGGGAGGAACACCAGUGGCGAAGGCGCCUUUCUGGACUGUGUCUGACGCUGAGAUGCGAAA